GACGAACGCUGGCGGCGUGCCUAACACAUGCAAGUGGAGCGACGAACCAGGCUUCGGCCUGGGGCAGAGCCGCGAACGGGUGAGUAACACGUGGGUAACCUGCCCUGAUGAUUGGGACAACCCGAGGAAACUCGGGCUAAUACCAAAUGUGCCCUCCGACCAUAAGGUCGCUGGGGAAAGAAGCUUCGGCCUCCGCAUCGGGAUGGGCCCGNGGCCCAUUAGCUUGUUGGUGAGGUAANGGCUCACCAAGGCAACGAUGGGUAGCUGGUCUGAGAGGACGAUCAGCCACACUGGGACUGAGACACGGCCCAGACUCCUACGGGAGCAGCAGUGGGAAUC
rnacentral:rRNA from 1 species